AACAUAGGGGGCAAGCGUUGUCCGGAAUCACUGGGCGUAAAGGGCGCGCAGGCGGUCUGUUAAGUCAGAUGUGAAAGGUUAGGGCUCAACCCUGAACGUGCAUCUGAUACUGGCAGACUUGAGUAUGGAAGAGGUAAGUGGAAUUCCUAGUGUAGCGGUGAAAUGCGUAGAUAUUAGGAGGAACACCAGUGGCGAAGGCGACUUACUGGGCCAUAACUGACGCUGAGGCGCGAAAGCGUGGGGAGCAAAC
rnacentral:rRNA from 1 species